rnacentral:rRNA from 1 species
CGAAAGCCUGACGGAGCAAGACCGCGUGAGGGAGGAAGGCUCUAGGGUUGUAAACCUCUUUUAUCAGGGAAUAAGCAAUGAAGGUACCUGAGGAAUCAGCAUCGGCUAACUCCGUGCCAGCAGCCGCGGUAAUACGGAGGAUGCAAGCGUUAUCCGGAAUCAUUGGGCGUAAAGCGUCCGCAGGUGGUAGUUCAAGUCGAUUGUCAAAGACCGAAGCUUAACUUCGGAAAGGCAGUGGAAACUGAAUAACUAGAGUACGGUAGGGGUAGAGGGAAUUUCCAGUGUAGCGGUGAAAUGCGUAGAGAUUGGAAAGAACACCAGUGGCGAAGGCGCUCUACUGGACCUGUACUGACACUGAGGGACGAAAGCUUAGGGGAGCG